rnacentral:rRNA from 1 species
CCUACGGGAGGCAGCAGUGAGGAAUAUUGGUCAAUGGCCGCAAGUCUGAACCAGCCAAGUAGCGUGCGGGAAGACUGCCCUAUGGGUUGUAAACCUCUUUUAUGCGGGGAUAAAGUUGUUCACGUGUGGAUUUUUGCAUGUACCGCAUGAAUAAGGACCGGCUAAUUCCGUGCCAGCAGCCGCGGUAAUACGGAAGGUCCGGGCGUUAUCCGGAUUUAUUGGGUUUAAAGGGAGCGUAGGCCGGCCCUUAAGCGUGCUGUGAAAUUGUGUGGCUCAACCGUGGGAGUGCAGCGCGAACUGGGGGGCUUGAGUGCGCCGAAGGCAGGCGGAAUUCGUGGUGUAGCGGUGAAAUGCUUAGAUAUCACGAAGAACCCCGAUGGCGAAGGCAGCCUGCCGUAGCGUGACUGACGCUGAGGCUCGAAGGCGCGGGUAUCGAACAGGAUUAGAUACCCGGGUAGUC